AUAACUAUAUAAUACAUUUCCAAUGGACACAAAGGUAAUUUAACACCUUUUUUUUAAGAUGGCAGACUAACAGUCUUAAAUAAAACCUAUAUUUUUACAUUUUUCUUCCCAUUUUAUCCUCCUCUUCACCAGAAUUCGUUCUCUUUCAACCACAACUCAUCACGUUGUUGAACAUCAAGCGCCUGCACAUUGAAUAUGGAAUCAAAAGGUUAUGGUCUUCAAUGCUUCACCGGUUCGACUUCUCGGCAAUCAUUAUAGUCAGUUUACACACACAAAUACCGUCUGAUCACAACCCAACCCUACUGCAUAUAAAUCCCAAAGCAAUCAGUCAAUUCUCCAAAUUAGGGCAUUCAAAUCUCAGAUCUAAAGGUUAAAAAACGGUUGAACAAGAUGUUGACGAAGAUUGAGACGAAGAGUGAUCGAGUGAAAGGUUUGAGUUUCGACAGCAAGAGGCUGUGGAUCUUGGCGAGUCUUCACAGUGGUGUGAUUCAGCUAUGGGAGCUAUGGGAUUACCGGAUGGGGACACUCAUUGAUCGGUUUGAUGAACAUGAUCGUCCUGGUUCGUGGCGUGCCCUCAGUCGCAACCGCUUUUUUGUUUCUGGAGGUUUGUUAUGUUAUGUUUGGAUUGUGUUCAGAUGUAUGGAAUGGUUGUGGAUUUUAGGGAUUUUUUUUUACAGGUGACUUAAAGUCAUGACUUUUUAAAUCUAAUAAACUUUGUUCUUUGAUCUACCACAAUCGCUUGAACAUGAUAACAUUGGGGAUGAGGUAAAUGUCGACAGCGACCAGAUUUGCAUUUACUACUCUAACCAUGGUGGUCCUGUUGUUCUAAUUUAUUGACUAACUCCUUUAAAACUAAAAUAACUAUAUUAUUUUUUUGGUAAUUUUGUAACUUUUUUCAGGGAUGCCAACAAAACUUUACCUGUAUGCAAGCUAAAAGAACGGGUUCUAAUGGCAUGCGCGUCAAAGAAUGUGGGUAAAGAUGGUACUUGUGAAUGGGUUGUGUUUUAUCUCAAACUGGUCAAAUAAAAAUAAAGAUGGUAUAGUUUUAGUUUUAUAGUUUGAUUUUUUUUAUUAUCAAAUUUGGCUGGGUUUAUAAUCUUUAUCGUUUUUGGCCCAGUCCAACCGACCCAUGUUCAAAGAAUUGUGUAAUAGAUGAGCAUACUGAAGAUGAAAUAUAACUUCUUAAUCAUGUCUCACACAUUAUCAAGUCACUAAAUAAAUCCAAAAGAUUUGUACAAACAGCGUAAUGGUUCCACCCGUCCGACCCAGGUUCAAAGAAUGGUGUAAAAGAUGGGGGAUAUAACUUUAUUAUUCGUGUCUCAUACACUAUAAAGUUGUAAAAAAUCAAGAACUUUUGCACAAACUAUGUUUUGGGUCGAAUCGACUCGGCCAUGUUCAGAGAAUGGUGUGAAAGAUGAGCAUAUUGAGGGUGGAAUAGUGGUCCUAUGAGAAGUUAUAGAAAGGAGGAUGUGGGUUUCAUGGACAUGCAAAGCUUUUAGCUGUAUAUAGCUUUUGUUUUUGUUAUAGAUUUACAGGAGCCGGAAUGUGACUAGACCAUAAGCUUCGAAGAGCAUGUGGGUUUCAUGGACUUAUGUCUUUAUUCCCUAUAACGGCACGUAUGAUGACCUGGUCGCUGAAGUUCAUAACAAGCUGUGGAUAGUUUGGAAUGGGUCAAGUGGUCAACAGUAAAGUUGUUAUUUAGUCACAGGUUCAUUGAAUGGUUGUUAUGGGAUUCCGUUACCACAGCUCAUUGAAUGAGGUUUUAUUUAUGGUUUUAGAUGGUCAAAGUUUUCUGAAACCAACCCUCGGUUCAUGAGCAAACCGAAAAAAGAAAAGAAACCGAAACCAAAACCAAAACCAAAAACCGAAAUACGGAAUCAAGUCUCACCCCUGCCUGAGCUCAUUGCGGAGCCCACGAGCGCCUGGUCAAUGUUGUUUGUUAGGACCCAUGAGUCUUUAGCUUCGGAGAUCAUCAAAGGCGAAGGUCAUGGCAGCGUGGUUGACUGGUGGACGUUCGGGAUAUUUCUUUAUGAGCUUUUGUUCGGGAAAACUCUGUUCAAGGGGAACGAUAACCGGGCCACUUUGUUUAACGUUGUCGGGCAACCGUUGAGAUUUCCCGAUCGCCUUCGGUUAGUUUUGCGGCGAGGGAUUUGAUCAGGGGGUUACUUGUGAAAGAGCCGCAGCAUCGACUAGCAUAUAAACGAGGGGCAACCGAGAUCAAACAGCACCCGUUUUGUCAGAGCGUGAACUGGGCGCUGAUCCGCUGCGCUACUCCGCUGGAUGUACCAAAACCGGCGUCGGAAAUGGUGGUAGUAGACGUGAAACCUUCCGGUAACUACUUAGAGAUUGAUUUCUUUUAGUGUUGCCUGUCAAUGGAUUCUACUGAAUUUCAAAGGAACUUGAACCUGUGUUUUUCUUUUUUCUUAUGUUUAUGGUGGCUUCUAAUUGCCUUGUUUCAGUUAAUUUAUUACUGUUUAACAAAAUCCUAAUAAUGCCAAUAUUUUUCUUUUUAUAUUGUGUUAUUUUAUAUUUUUUUAGCUAUAAUACAACUAUAUAUAGUUAUAUACUUAUGAACCCAAACACUACUUUUACAUUUUUAUUUAUAUUUGUUAAUUUCAAAAGCA